UGCAGUCGACGGUGAACUCCGCUUGCGGGGGGAUCAGUGGCGAACGGGUGAGUAACACGUGGGCAACCUGCCCUCAGCUCUGGGAUAACUCCAAGAAAUUGGGGCUAAUACCGGAUAUGACCGCUGACCGCAUGGUCUGGUGGUGGAAAGAUUUAUCGGCUGGGGAUGGGCCCGCGGCCUAUCAGCUUGUUGGUGGGGUAGUGGCCUACCAAGGCGACGACGGGUAGCCGGCCUGAGAGGGUGACCGGCCACACUGGGACUGAGACACGGCCCAGACUCCUACGGGAGGCAGCAGUGGGGAAUAUUGCGCAAUGGGCGAAAGCCUGACGCAGCGACGCCGCGUGGGGGAUGACGGCCUUCGGGUUGUAAACCUCUUUCAGCAGGGACGAAGCGAAAGUGACGGUACCUGCAGAAGAAGCACCGGCCAACUACGUGCCAGC
rnacentral:rRNA from 1 species